CUGCCUGAUGGAGGGCAUGAUAACUACUGGAAACGGGUAGCUAAUACCGGGCAUAAGUCGCAAGACCAAAGACGGGGACCUUCGGGCCUCUUGCCAUCAGAUGUGCCGUCAGAUGGCUGAUUUAGCUCCAGUAGGUGGGGUUCACCUAGGCGACGGUCCCUAGUGGUCUGAGAGGAUGACCAGCCACUCCUGGAACUGAGACACGGUCCAGACUCCUACGGGAGGCAGCAGUGGAAUAUUGCACAAUGGGCGCAAGCCUAUGCAGCCAUGCCGCGUGUAUAAAGAAGGCCUUCGGGACUUGUAAAGUACUUUCAGCGGGGAGGAAGGUGUUGUGGUUAAUAACCGCAGCAAUUGAUUACCCGCAGAAGAAGCACCGGCGAUUAACUCCGUGCCAACAGCCGCGGUAAUACGGAGGGUGCGGGCGUUWACGGAAUUACUGGUCGUAAAGCGCACGCAGGCGGUCUGUCAAGUCGGAUGUGAAAUCCCCGGGCUCAACCUGGGGAACUGCAUUCGAAACUGGCAGGCUGGAGUCUUGUAGAGGGGGGUAGAAUUCCACGUGUAGCGGUUAAAUGCGUAUAGAUCUGGAGGAAUACCGGUGGCGAAGGCGGCCCCCUGGACAAAGACUGACGCUCAGGUGCGAAAGCGUGGGGAGCAAACAUGAUUAGAUACCCUGGUAGUCCACGCCGUAAACGAUGUCGAUUUGGAGGUUGUGCCCUUGAGGCGUGGCUUCCGGAGCUAACGCGUUAAAUCCACCCCCUGGGGAGUACGGCCACAAGGUUAAAACUCAAAUGAAUUUACGGGGGCCCCGCACAAGCUGUGGGGCAUGUUGGAUUACUUCCAUUCAACCCAAGGAACCUUUACUGGUCUUGACAUCCACAGAAUUUUCCAGAGAUGGAUUGGUGCCUUCGGGAACUGUGAGACAGGUGCUGCAUGGCUGUCGUCAGCUCGUGUUGUGAAAUGUUGGGUUAAGUCCCGCAACGAGCGCAACCCUUAUCCUUUGUUGCCAGCGGUCCGGCCGGGAACUCAAAGGCCAGUGAUAAACUGGAGGAAUGGUGGGGAUGACGUCAAGUCAUCAUGGCCCUUACGACCAGGGCUACACACGUGCUACAAGUGGCGCAUACAAGAGAAGCGACCUCGCGAGAGCAAGCGGACCUCAUAAAGUGCGUCGUAGUCCGGAUU
rnacentral:rRNA from 1 species